GGCCUAAACCCUUUACCGGGCAUGGCGAAAGAAGUCGAGUUAAGCAUAAAGAACCCAUCAUGGGGUCGCUUAACUCGCCAUAGCGGGAAACUGCUAUGAGAAGCUUCGGCUUCU
rnacentral:sRNA from 1 species